UAGGGAAUAUUGGUCAAUGGUGGGAACACUGAACCAGCCAUGCCGCGUGCAGGAAGAAGGCCUCUGGGUCGUAAACUGCUUUUGACCGGGGACGUGUACCGGUAGAAUAAGCCACGGCUAACUACGUGCCAGCAGCCGCGGUAAUACGUAGGUGGCAAGCGUUGUCCGGAUUUAUUGGGUUUAAAGGUGCGUAGGCGGCCCGAUAAGUCAGCGGUGAAAUACCCAGGCCUAACCUGGGGGGUGCCGUUGAUACUGUCGGGCUUGGGUUCUGUAGAGGCAGGCGGAAUUGACGGUGUAGCGGUGAAAUGCAUAGAUAUCGUCAAGAACACCGAUAGCGAAGGCAGCCUGCUGGGCAGAUACCGACGCUGAGGCACGAAAGUGUGGGGAUCAAACAGGAUUAGAUACCCUAGUAGU
rnacentral:rRNA from 1 species